GAUGAACGCUAGCGACAGGCUUAACACAAUGCAAGUCGAGGGGCAGCGGGGAGUAGCAAUACUUUGCCGGCGACCGGCGCACGGGUGAGUAACGCGUAUGCAACCUGCCUAUCAGAGGGGAAUAACCCGGCGAAAGUCGGACUAAUACCGCAUAAAACAGGGGUCCCGCAUGGGAAUAUUUGUUAAAGAGUUAUCGCUGAUAGAUGGGCAUGCGUUCCAUUAGAUAGUUGGUGGGGUAACGGCCCACCAAGUCCACGAUGGAUAGGGGUUCUGAGAGGAAGGUCCCCCACAUUGGAACUGAGACACGGUCCAAACUCCUACGGGAGGCAGCAGUGAGGAAUAUUGGUCAAUGGACGAGAGUCUGAACCAGCCAAGUAGCGUGCAGGAAGACGGCCCUAUGGGUUGUAAACUGUUUUAUAAGGGAAUAAGGUGAGUCUCGUGAGACUUUUGCAUGUACCUUAUGAAUAAGGACCGGCUAAUUCCGUG
rnacentral:rRNA from 1 species